rnacentral:lncRNA from 1 species
UACCGGAUUCAAAAUUUCCUAUAAAUAUGGAAGUUUGAACAUCACUUUAAACACACCAACAAGAAAAAAAAAUAAAAACAUGAAAGAAAAAAAAUGUCGGGCUCCGGGAAUAUCUUCGAGUUGCGGAGAUCGAUGUAUAUGCACAGAGAUGCUAACGGGAUAGUGACGAAAGAAUACCUCGAAGGGCUGGAGACAUUUAUGCAUCAAGCCGAUUCCACACCGCUC